UACGUAGGGGGCAAGCGUUGUCCGGAUUUAUUGGGCGUAAAGAGCGUGUAGGCGGCCAGGUAGGUCCGCUGUGAAAACUCGAGGCUUAACCUCGAGAUGUCGGUGGAAACCAUCUGGCUAGAGUCCGGAAGAGGAGAGUGGAAUUCCUGGUGUAGCGGUGAAAUGCGCAGAUAUCAGGAAGAACACCCGUGGCGAAGGCGGCAUCCUGGACUGGUACUGACGCUCAUGAGCGAAAGCGUGGGGAGCGAUCCGG
rnacentral:rRNA from 1 species